AUUAUGGGAGCUACAAUUCAAGAUGAGAUUUGGGUGGGGACACAGUCAAACUGUAUCAGUUAGGCAAGAGGAAAUGGCUUUCAUUUUAUUCAGUAGAAUCUUUGUGCUUGACGCCUCCACCUGUCAUAUAAACAGAAAGAUUGUCUUGAUGGAGGAAAGUGAAGGAUCAUACGAAGAGUCCUGAGAUUCUAUGAAGGGAGAAAUUCCUGGCCUUCCUCCAGAUGCCUCAACUCCUCAUCUUUCCCACACCAGAUGCAAUCGGACCACAGCUACAGCAGAGCCCCUAAGGCAGAAGUGCCCAGUCAAGACCUUCCCACUUGAUGUGCAGAAAACGUGAGAGUUAAAAGAGCUGCUCUUCAUGAUGAUUCUACAAGUUAAAAGAGCUAUUCACCAGAUAGCAUUUUGAUGAAAAUGCUUUAUCACCUGGCACAGAUGGAUCAUGGCUGAGAAUCCACUGAAGAGUUCAUUCACCAGAGUCACCAGUAGAAGUCCAAUAAAGCUUUGAAGAUAUCUGAGAUCAAGAGAUCAAGUCGAUUUAUUGUUUGUAAAACAGUGAGGAUUGUUCUGCGGUGGCAUGAAGGUACAUUUUCUGAUAAUGGCCUUUUUUAAGAGUUGCCUUAAUGUGAAUGACAUGAAGCAAGGAAAAAGGCUGUUGGCUUUUCGCUGGUCAUUCCCCAGCCCAUCCCCAGGAUCCAGCUGCAAGAACCAAGGCAAGAGGCCAACCUCCCCAUUCUGGAAUCUGACACUGCAGGAUUUCCAUUUAGGUAGGACCUAUAGGCUCUUCAGAGGUUAUGUAAUUUUGCAACCCUGCAAAAAAAAUGGUUUUCUAGAUGCUAAAGACAUGUACUCCAAGAAGGCACUUUUUCUGAGGCUUGUGGGUGGUGGACAUCAACAAAAACCUGAAAUAAUCAUGAACAGAUGUGAAAUACCCCAGGGUUUCUUAGACUAAUUGGUGAAGUCUGCGCAGAUGGCCUGUAGUUAUACAGAAGGCCUGUUAUCAUGUCUGCCAGCCCAAUCUAUAAAUGCAUGGCAGUGUGAUAUCAGUGGAACCCAUAGUUUGAGGAGGCCUGGAGACUUUUACACUACAUAUAUUAAUAAAACAGAUGAAUAUUUGCUUUUUCCCAUUACUUUACACUGAUGAUAUUGAGUGAACAUUCCCUGAAUUGCCUUAUAACUUAAUGUUACUCAUCAUCGUUUAUACAUUAACUAAACACACUCGAUUGAAUAAUCUUAUACUUGACUUAUUUCUAUUUAUUUUCCUCACUGUUAACAGCUUUCACAUUUUUUUCUGUUGCUCUAACACAUAUAAAGAGUUAUUUAUGAACACACAGUGAAACAAAGAAAACUGCCUAUUAGAG